rnacentral:rRNA from 1 species
ACGGGAGGCAGCAGUAGGGAAUAUUGCACAAUGGGGGAAACCCUGAUGCAGCAACGCCACGUGUGGGAAGAAGCAUUUCGGUGUGUAAACCACUGUCGUGAGGGAUAAAGCUGGAGUUGUCCAGUUGAAUGUACCUCGAAAGGAAGCACCGGCAAACUUCGUGCCAGCAGCCGCGGUAAUUCGAGGGGUGCAAGCGUUGUUCGGAAUCACUGGGCGUAAAGGGAGCGCAGGCGGAGAAGCAAGCGGUCUGUACAAUACCGGGGCCCAACCCCGGACCUGCAGACCGGACUGCUCCUCUUGGAUAGCUCAGGGGCUGGCGGAAUUCCUGGUGUAGCGGUGGAAUGCGUAGAGAUCAGGAAGAGCACCGAUGGCGAAGGCAGCCAACUGGGGGCUUAUCGACGCUCAUGCUCGAAAGUGCGGGUAGCAAACAGGAUUAGGUCCCUGGUA